rnacentral:rRNA from 1 species
GCAAGUCGAGCGAUCCUUCGGGAUAGCGGCGGACGGGUUAGUAACGCGUGGGAACGUGCCCUUCUCUACGGAAUAGCCUCGGGAAACUGAGAUUAAUACCGUAUACGCCCUUUGGGGGAAAGAUUUAUCGGAGAAGGAUCGGCCCGCGUUAGAUUAGGUAGUUGGUGGGGUAACGGCCUACCAAGCCUACGAUCUAUAGCUGGUUUGAGAGGAUGAUC